CGGCAUAUGGAGGUUCCCAGGCUAGGAGUCUAAUUGGAGCCGUAGCCACUGGCCUACACCAGAGCCACAGCAACACGGGAUCCGAGCUGCGUCUGCAACCUACACCACAGCUCACAGCAAUGCCGGAUCGUUAACCCACUGAGCAAGGGCAGGGAUCGAACCCGCAACCUUAUGGUUCCUAGUCGGAUUCGUCAACCACUGCGCCACGACGGGAACUCCUAGGUUUCGUUUUAAAAGCAAUCUCCACACUCAAAACCCAGAGAGAAUCCCGGUGUGUUCAGUGCUUCUGCCAUCGAGAGCCACAGACGCCGACAGAGAAGACGCCAUAAACUCGUCAGCAGAGCCCCAGCAGCAGGGGACACGUGCCGGGGCCAGGACCGAGUGCCACAGGGCCCGAGGCUGGGGGUGGGCGCUGGACGCUUCCUCACUCUUUACACGCGUCUCCACAAACGCAGCGCUGUGUCUUGUGAUAAAAAUGACCUGAAGAGAGCGGCAUGCAGCUGGACCUCCUCAGCGAGGAAGGAGGUAGCCACUGGCCCCCGGGCCCCCGGGNNNNNNNNNNNNNNNNNNNNNNNNNNNNNNNNNNNNNNNNNNNNNNNNNNNNNNNNNNNNNNNCCGGCGUGGGGCUGCCCAGGGCCGCGCGGGCCCCCGAGAGGUCGAUCUUGGUGCUGCGGCAGGUGUUGGAGCAAACCCUGUCGUGCUGGUAGAAGUCCAGCUCGCCCGAGUCCAUGAUCUUCCUGGCGGGCCCCCCCGCGGCGCCUCUCCGGCAGCCCUCCGCCCAGAGCCGCCCCAGAUGCCCCUCAGCCUGCCGUUCAGCGUCGCCCGUGGCUAUGCCGCCCUUGGGCAGGGGGCUGGGGCGGCUCUCACCCCAGCCUGGGGCCGCAGCACCCAGACAGGCACCCAGCAGACCUCCCGGGAACACAGUUCACUCGUACAUCCAUCAUGGCAUUGACUGGAGACCCGCGCGGGGUCCCCAGGGACACCCUCUUCACAGCAAGGGAGCCAGGCCCACCUCGAAGUCAGGGCCUGUUCUCUGGGCGCGGGUCCGCUGGUUUCACCCACCAGCGGAGCUCGGGUGGCGGGAGAAGGGGCGGUACCUCUCCCACCUCGUUAGGUGGGCGAUUACGGGAACUGAGGACCCCCAAUCAGACUGCGUUUACUUGGGAAACGAGCAGCCUGGGGGUGGAGUCACAGCCUCCGCAGAGGCAGGAACAAAGGCUCCAGCUCUCGGGCGCCCGGCAGUCCAUGUCGGGCCGAGCGGGGAUCGUCCUGCCACUGGGGCAAAAGCACCAGAGCUCGCAGACAGGCCACACCAACUGCCAAGCUCCACAGCUGGUGCGUGUUGUACAAACAGCAGAUUCGUGACAACCUCGUCUUGGGCAGAUCUCUCGGUGCCAUUUCCAACAGCCUUUGCUCCCUGCGUCUUCUGGUGACUCUCGCAGCAUUUCCGACUUUUUUGUUGUCAAAAUGUUUGUUAGGGUGGCCUGGGAUCCAGAAUCCUUGAGGUUAGCACCAUGCCGCCCAAGUCUCAGAGGGCGUCAGCAUUUUUUUCAGUGGUCGCACCCGCAGCAUAUGAAGUUCCUGGCCCAGGGACUGAAUCUGAGCCACAGCUGCAACCUACGCGGGAUCCUUUAACCCACUGCGCUGGGACAGGGGUGGAACCCCUCACGUCUACAGGGACCUGAGAUGCUGCAGUCAGAUUCUUAACCGGCGGAACCACAGCCGGAGCACCAGCAACAAAGCCUUUGUAAGCGAAGGCACGUACGUGGUUUAGACAUCAGGCCACCACCCCGCUAAGCAUCUAGCGUAAACGUCGUGUCCGCACGUGCUGGGAACCCAAAAAACCCGUGACACACGGGCUCGCCACACGGGCUCCACCGAGCCGGUCUGGGCCUGAACCCGCAGCACAGCUGAGGGCUGCCUUUAUCUCCUUCACGCUCGGUGCGGCCAAGGCCGCCAGCCUGGGAAACCCCUCGUGAGAGAAGCGCGGAGCGGGGCCCGAACCAGGCAGGCCGAGGGGGAGGUGGUCUCUGGCCACUGCCGGGGAGCACAGGGGCCACCCCGGGCCGGCCCCCGCAUCUCCGCCCCGACACCCUCCCCGUCGCCUCUGGCUCCGCCUGCNNNNNNNNNNNNNNNNNNNNNNNNNNNNNNNGGCGGGCCGGGCCCUCCUCUGCUUGGGCAGGCGUGCUCCACUCUCGGGUGGACGCUGUGUCUGGCCGGGCUCACUGAUCCCGCUGGGCCCGGCCGCCUGGCCACGCAGUGCGGGGGCCUCCUGGCACGCGUCCCGCCUCAGGCACACCCGAGAACACCUGCCUGGAACCACCUCCCCGCGCCUGAAGUCACUUCUUGGAAUACCUUCCAGCUGUGACUUGCUGGCGGCAAACGCAGUUCUGUCUGAAAACACACUUUCCCUAAUUUUUGAAGGCCUCCCUGUGCACGCUGUCCUCUCCCAGCUCAAGGACGCGCGGCCCGUGCCCGUCCCCCAGGCGCCUUGAGGUCUUAGCUCCACAGCUCUCACUGUUCCAUUGCUGUCACCUCUGUAUGUCUCCUUUGCUUCUAACUUCUUAUCCUGCAGCGAUUUCAACCUUAGGGAGCAACUGCAGGAAGAGCACCCAGCGCUCCGCCAGGCCCUGGUCCGCGGCCGCGGCUGAGCUGCCAGAGUCCCCCAGGCCACCUCUUGAGGACAAGCUUCCUGUGCAAGCCCAGCUCACGAGGUCCAGAAACCGUCGGCAGCCCGUCACUGCCGGACCCACAGCAGAACUCUCAUUGCGUGAGCGGCCCCCAGACUGGCCUUGGUGGCGACUCUUCUCUCUGACACAGGACACUCUUCGCCUCCUUGACCACAGCAGCCCUGCAGCCCGACCGUGUCCUCCUGACCUCAGCUUCUGUGAGGCAUGUAGGUCAGCUCUUCUGCAGAUAAAAAUUGUGCCCUCGGGGUUUUUUGCUUUUAUUUUAACUAAUUUAUUUUUAGGGCUGCAUCUACAGCAUAUGGAGGUUCCCAGGCUAGGGGCUGAAUCGGAGCUGUAGCCACCGGCCUACGCCAGAGCCACAGCAAUGCGGGAUCUGAGCCAUGUCUGCAACCUGCACCACAGCUCACAGCCACAUGGAUCCUUAACCCAAUGAGCAAGGCCAGGGAUCCAACCCACAACCUCACGGGUCCUAGUCGGGUUCGUUUCUGCGGCGCCACGAUGGGACCUGCGUGCCCUUCUUGUGUCCAGUGUUCUCCAGAGUGGAGGCAGAUCGUGCGUCUUGGCAGCAAGGCCGCGGAAUCCCCGCCCACUCAGCCAAAGGCCGUGAGGGGCAUCAUCACACGUUCGGGGGGAUCCGCAGGUGGCCCCCCGCCGCCACCACCGAUUGGCCCCUGUGAGCAGUGCUAAGCCAUGAGGU
rnacentral:lncRNA from 1 species